rnacentral:rRNA from 1 species
UACGGAGGUUCCUAGCGUUGUUCGGAAUUACUGGGCGUAAAGGGAGCGCAGGCGGACCGUUAAGUCUAAAGUGGAAUCCCGGGGCUCAACCUCGGACGUGCUUUGGAUACUGGCGGUCUUGAGUUCGCGAGAGGAAAGCGGAAUUCAGGGUGUAGCGGUGAAAUGCUUAGAUAUCCUGAGGAACACCAGUGGCGAAAGCGGCUUUCUGGCGCGAAACUGACGCUGAGGCUCGAAAGCGUGGGGAGCAAACGGG